rnacentral:rRNA from 1 species
CCUCGGAGAGUUUGAUCCUGGCUCAGGACGAACGCUGGCGGCGUGCCUAAUACAUGCAAGUCGAGCGAACAGAAGGGAGCUUGCUCCCGGAUGUUAGCGGCGGACGGGUGAGUAACACGUGGGUAACCUGCCUGUAAGACUGGGAUAACUCCGGGAAACCGGAGCUAAUACCGGAUAGUUCCUUGAACCGCAUGGUUCAAGGAUGAAAGACGGUUUCGGCUGUCACUUACAGAUGGACCCGCGGCGCAUUAGCUAGUUGGUGGGGUAAUGGCUCACCAAGGCGACGAUGCGUAGCCGACCUG